UACGAAGGGGGCUAGCGUUGCUCGGAAUUACUGGGCGUAAAGCGUGCGUAGGCGGCUUCUUAAGUCGGUGGUGAAAUCCUGGAGCUCAACUCCAGAACUGCCUUCGAUACUGGGAAGCUCGAGUCCGGGAGAGGUGAGUGGAACUGCGAGUGUAGAGGUGAAAUUCGUAGAUAUUCGCAAGAACACCAGUGGCGAAGGCGGCUCACUGGCCCGGUACUGACGUUGAGGUGCGAAAGCGUGGGGAGCAAACAGG
rnacentral:rRNA from 1 species